CAAACAGACGCCUGCUGGAAGAUCAAGAAAAAGAAAAUAGAGGCUCAAACAAACCCAAACAACAACUGGAACCAGCAUGUAACAAGCCAAAACACCAUGACACUUACAUACGCUUAAUGAAACAGACAAAGAACAACAGGAACAGCCAUAAGCCAUGAGAUAAAGGAGGGACAAGCACCGUUACGAAGGCUUUGAAAAUUCCAACAGCGCAGCAGCUCUGUACUGGCAGACGGAGAGAUGUGACAUAAGUGCACAUAAACGAACACAUUUUCAACGUUCGCUGGCGUGGCUCAGCAUCUGCUUGUUCAUCACACACCUGAGUGUAUCAUUUAACAGCAUUGGCAUGGUAUUCCUCACCAAAACAGUCUGGUGGUGGGCUGCCAUGCAACAGUGGGCCCAGGGCAGCCGCCCCUCUACCCUCCUGCCUGUUCCGCUAUUACCGUGAGCUGAGUUUAAAUCCAAAGUGUUCGGUCUUUGGGAGUAAUUCAGGUGUUCUAUUCUAUACCUUGGAUGUUCUUUGGAUAUCUUGGCAAGCUUUAGCCUGAUGCCUAGAUGUCUAUUGUAGUGAGAGUGAGAGUGUGUUAAAGUUCUAAGCCAGGCCAAUGUACAUCGUGAAUAGAUUACAAAAAACUGCAGUUGUUUAGUGUGAAUUUUUGUGCAAUAUAUUAAUCCACUCUGGAUGAAGUUUCCUUCAUAACUGUUUUGUGGCGUUUUUAAUGGUAAAUCUAUCUUGGUCAAGCAUUGCAUUAAUUCAGCAACCACGGUAUUGGGAUCUGUAUGAGCAACCAUGUCCACCAUCAUGUUGACUCUCAAUAGUAAUAAUAACGUAACCAUUAAUUUGUGUUGGUAUC